rnacentral:lncRNA from 1 species
UCAGCGUUCAAUCUUUCUUCUUCUCAAAUAAUAUCAAUCACAUUUCUAUUCCAUAAUUUACUUCACAAUAUUCAGAAACUCUCAAUCCUCUUAUUCAAAGAAAAUAACAAACAAAAGAAAAGAGGUAGCAUCAAGCUUACCCCGGCUCACAACUAUCACAGCGAUGGGACCUUAAUUAACUUCUAUAAUUCUUAUAUACUUUCCCUUGAUUCUCUAGAUUUUAAUCAUAAUUCUAUAAUUAACUACUUUUAAUAAGUAAAUCACUCAUCCGUCUUUCUGAAUAUCCUAUUAUAUGGACUAUUAAUAUAUUUUACCAAUAUCUUUCAAAAAUGAAUUAAUAUCUAUUCUACAUAGCCUCACUCCUAUCUCUGCAGCGUCCUCGCAAAUACUCAAUUGAUACCUAUCUAAAAAUUAUCUAAUAAAACUCUACAAAAAUUACGAUCCCUCUGGCCUAUCUAAUUAAUCAAUUGCUGCAAUAUCUGUUAUUGAUUCUACCAAUUCCGAUUCCAACUGCAAAUCUUCGUCCUCCUCCAAUCCUUCUAUUGGCUCUUGCCUCAAUUGAGCUGAAGGUCUUCAUUAUACUCUCCCAGUUUAUAGACUUGAGCUUCCAAUUUCAAGAUCUAGGCAUCUCUCAAUUCCAAUUGGCGCUGAAAGUGACUCCUCUCCUCUAGAACAUCGAGAAUUGGCA